rnacentral:rRNA from 1 species
UACGUAGGGUGCGAGCGUUUAAUCGGAAUUACUGGGCGUAAAGCGUGCGCAGGCGGUUGUGCAAGACAGAUGUGAAAUCCCCGGGCUCAACCUGGGAAUUGCAUUUGUGACUGCACGGCUAGAGUGUGUCAGAGGGGGGUAGAAUUCCACGUGUAGCAGUGAAAUGCGUAGAGAUGUGGAGGAAUACCGAUGGCGAAGGCAGCCCCCUGGGAUAACACUGACGCUCAUGCACGAAAGCGUGGGGAGCAAACAGG